GUGGUGGGGUGUUUAGCUGUCGGUGCUUUUGGAUAAAACCAAAAGUGCUGAGGAAGUCCGUCCACCCAAAAAAAGACUGGAGCAGCAAUGCUCAUCCGUAAAAGGAUGGCAACGGAUCAGAAACGAGACUGCUUUGUGAAAUGUUUGUGAUGCUGGCGAAGCUGAAGAAUCUCAAAGUAAGUUGAAACGGCCGACCCAGUCGGUGCAAGUUUAAAACGCUAAGUCGAAUGCUAAAGAAGGGAAUGCUGUAUAGCUCCCUUACAGAAGACGGGCUACAGCCCUGCCAC
rnacentral:RNase_P_RNA from 1 species